rnacentral:rRNA from 1 species
UACUAGAAUAUUAAAAGUUAUGGCCUUUAAAUUUAAAAAAUUUGGCGGUGUUUUAGUCUAGUUAGAGGAACCUGUUUUAUAAAUGAUACAACACGCAUUAUUUUACUUAUUUUAGUAGAGCAGUUUGUAUACCGUCAUUAUAAGAUAAUUUAGGAGAAAAUAUUAUUGAAAUCAUAUUUGUGAGUAUAUUAGAUCAAGGUGCAGCUUAUGGAUAAGUAAAUAUGGGUUACAAUAAAAUUAAUUUAAUAUGAAUUAAGUAUUUAAAUAUAUUUAUGAAGGAGGAUUUAAUUGUAAGGGAAGGAGUAGUGAGAUUUUCUGAUAAAAGCUCUAAAUUAUGUACAUAUCGCCCGUCGCUC